GCCAAAGUGUAAGGUUAAAUAGCCUUAACAUUAAAUUCUUUUUUUCCUUGAUCAUAGGCUAUGUGAGGCACCUUAUCUCCUUCUGUGAUCAAGAGAGAGAAAAGAGCAUCUGAGAGGUGUUCAUAGUAUGUGAAAUUCAUCAUCUUCUGGAGGUGUCUUUGAGCCAUUCUGAAGAGAACAGAACUUUCUUCUUAACUGAGCAUGGGUCUUCAGCGACAACCCUGGCAUGCACACUGUGCAACAGCUCUGGGUGCUUCACAUCAACUCAUUCCCAAUGGACUCAGAACCUAUUGAUUUUUCAAGUUACCUAUGGAAUUCUGCCUUGUGAGGUGC
rnacentral:lncRNA from 1 species